GAACUCCCAAGCAACGCCACCACUUGAACAACCGCCGGCACCGGACCCAGUCCACUCGUCGCCCUCUCGCCGAUCGCCAUUCGCCACCACUCGUCGCCCUCCCAAGUCCCAAGCUCUGCAGAAUAUAUUGGAAGAAAGCUACUUCUUCAGUCACCUUCAAGGACCAAACAGCUUGCCUGAAUCACCUGUUGGACAGGCUUCUCAAACUCUCAGCAGUCAGCACUAAUUUGGGCAGUGAAUCUAAUUCCUCUCCAAAUGGUAGAACAGAUGUGGCAGAUAAAAUCAAACAGCCUAUCGUGACUUGCAUAAAUCGAAUAGCAUUCCUUUUCUUCGUUUAAUUCCAAGAUCACAAACAAUUGUGUGAUUGUCUAUUAUUUGGAGGUAAGUUACUUAGCCUUUUUCUCGUUAUUUUUGCAUGUGGGAAGGUCAAAAAUUGCUUUUGGAAAGUGUAGUGAAGCAUAGGCUGUGAAAUUGUUUGCUGUGAAGUUUGGAGAUUGUGA